GACGAACGCUGGCGGCGUGCUUAACACAUGCAAGUCGAACGGAAAUGCCCUGCUUUUGUGGUGUGCUCGAGUGGCGAACGGGUGAGUAACACGUGAGUAACCUGCCCUUGACUUUGGGAUAACUUCAGGAAACUCGGGCUAAUACCGGAUAGGAGCUCCUGAUGCAUGGUGGGGGUUGGAAAGAUUCGGCGGUUGGGGAUGGACUCGCGGCUUAUCAGCUUGUUGGUGGGGUAGUGGCUUACCAAGGCUUUGACGGGUAGCCGGCCUGAGAGGGUGACCGGCCACAUUGGGACUGAGAUACGGCCCAGACUGCUACGGGAGGCAGCAGUGGGGAAUAUUGCACAAUGGGCGGAAGCCUGAUGCAGCAACGCCGCGUGCGGGAUGACGGCCUUCGGGUUGUAACCCGCUUUCGCCUGUGACGAAGCGUGAGUGACGGUAAUGGGUAAAGAAGCACCGGCUAACUACGUG
rnacentral:rRNA from 1 species